rnacentral:rRNA from 1 species
AGAGCCUGAAUCAGUGUGUGUGUUAGUGGAAGCGUCUGGAAAGGCGCGCGAUACAGGGUGACAGCCCCGUACACAAAAAUGCACAUGCUGUGAGCUCGAUGAGUAGGGCGGGACACGUGGUAUCCUGUCUGAAUAUGGGGGGACCAUCCUCCAAGGCUAAAUACUCCUGACUGACCGAUAGUGAACCAGUACCGUGAGGGAAAGGCGAAAAGAACCCCGGCGAGGGGAGUGAAAAAGAACCUGAAACCGUGUACGUACAAGCAGUGGGAGCACGCUUAGGCGUGUGACUGCGUACCUUUUGUAUAAUGGGUCAGCGACUUAUAUUCUGUAGCAAGGUUAACCGAAUAGGGGAGCCGAAGGGAAACCGAGUCUUAACUGGGCGUUAAGUUGCAGGGUAUAGACCCGAAACCCGGUGAUCUAGCCAUGGGCAGGUUGAAGGUUGGGUAACACUAACUGGAGGACCGAACCGACUAAUGUUGAAAAAUUAGCGGAUGACUUGUGGCUGGGGGUGAAAGGCCAAUCAAACCGGGAGAUAGCUGGUUCUCCCCGAAAGCUAUUUAGGUAGCGCCUCGUGAAUUCAUCUCCGGGGGUAGAGCACUGUUUCGGCAAGGGGGUCAUCCCGACUUACCAACCCGAUGCAAACUGCGAAUACCGGAGAAUGUUAUCACGGGAGACACACGGCGGGUGCUAACGUCCGUCGUGAAGAGGGAAACAACCCAGACCGCCAGCUAAGGUCCCAAAGUCAUGGUUAAGUGGGAAACGAUGUGGGAAGGCCCAGACAGCCAGGAUGUUGGCUUAGAAGCAGCCAUCAUUUAAAGAAAGCGUAAUAGCUCACUGGUCGAGUCGGCCUGCGCGGAAGAUGUAACGGGGCUAAACCAUGCACCGAAGCUGCGGCAGCGACGCUGAUGCGUUGUUGGGUAGGGGAGCGUUCUGUAAGCCUGCGAAGGUGUGCUGUGAGGCAUGCUGGAGGUAUCAGAAGUGCGAAUGCUGACAUAAGUAACGAUAAAGCGGGUGAAAAGCCCGCUCGCCGGAAGACCAAGGGUUCCUGUCCAACGUUAAUCGGGGCAGGGUGAGUCGACCCCUAAGGCGAGGCCGAAAGGCGUAGUCGAUGGGAAACAGGUUAAUAUUCCUGUACUUGGUGUUACUGCGAAGGGGGGACGGAGAAGGCUAUGUUGGCCGGGCGACGGUUGUCCCGGUUUAAGCGUGUAGGCUGGUUUUCCAGGCAAAUCCGGAAAAUCAAGG